CUUCCGUAGGUGAACCUGCGGAAGGAUCAUUAAUGAAUUCUGAACGGGGUUGUUGCUGGCCGUCAGCGGCAUGUGCACGCCCUGAUCAUUAUCCAUCUCAAACACCUGUGCACACACUGUAGGUCGGUUUGUGGCUGGAGUGGGCGUGCUCUGUGUCCGCUUUGGUUGUAGGCCUUCCUAUGUUUUAUUACAAACUACUUCAGUUUAAAGAAUGUCACUGUUGCGUCUAACGCAUUUAAAUACAACUUUCAGCAACGGAUCUCUUGGCUCUCGCAUCGAUGAAGAACGCAGCGAAAUGCGAUAAGUAAUGUGAAUUGCAGAAUUCAGUGAAUCAUCGAAUCUUUGAACGCACCUUGCGCUCCUUGGUAUUCCGAGGAGCAUGCCUGUUUGAGUGUCAUGGAAUUCUCAACUCUAUUCGCUUUUGUGAAUAGGGCUUGGACUUGGAGGUUUAUUGCCGGUACACCUGUGAUCGGCUCCUCUUGAAUGCAUUAGCUCGAACCUUUGUGGAUCAGCUAUCGGUGUGAUAAUUGUCUACGCCGUUGCUGUGAAGCAUGUUAAUGGGAUCGGCUUCCAAUCGUCCUUUACUUGGGGACAAUGCCUUUGACCUUUGACCUCAAAUCAGGUAGGAUUACCCGCUGAACUUAAGCAUAUCAAUAAGCG
rnacentral:rRNA from 1 species